rnacentral:lncRNA from 1 species
GUUCGUUUCUGUGUGUAUUACAUUAUAACGUUGUGACGUUUGUUUUCUCUUAUUUUUGAGUGUAAAUUCACAUUGCGAUAAGACGUGUCACGGUACUUGUCUAUCCCAAAUUCAUGUAUUUGGUUUUGAUGUUAUAUAUAUAUGUUAUAUUUGUUAUUCUCGUGGGAUUUUGUCUAUAUGUGUUACAUUUUAGUGUUAUGUCGUUGUUCUCCUCUUAUAUUUAAUGCGUUUCCCUCGGUUUUAGUUUGUUAUCCCGAUUUUGUUUUUUGUCCAUGGAUUUAUGAGUUUUGAACAGCGGUAUACUACUGUUGCCUUUAUUUACACA